rnacentral:rRNA from 1 species
AGAGUUUGAUUCUGGCUCAGAAUGAACGCUGGCGGCGUGCCUAACACAUGCAAGUCGCACGAGAAAGGCUGGGUUUCGGCUUGGCCGAGUAAAGUGGCGCACGGGUGAGUAACGCGUGGGUGACCUACCCUCGAAUCUGGGAUAACCUCGCGAAAGCGGGGCUAAUACCGGAUACGUCCCUUUGGGGAGAAAGCCGGCCUCUCGAAGAAGCUGGUGUUCGGGGAUGGGCCCGCGUCCUAUCAGCUAGUUGGUAGGGUAACGGCCUACCAAGGCGACGACGGGUAGCUGGUCUGAGAGGAUGAUCAGCCACACUGGCACUGGAACACGGGCCAGACUCCUACGGGAGGCAGCAGUGAGGAAUUUUGCGCAAUGGGAGCAAUCCUGACGCAGCAACGCCGCGUGGGUGAAGAAGGCCUUCGGGUCGUAAAGCCCUGUCAGGAGGGAAGAACCUCGCUGGGGCGAAUAGCCUGGACGACUGACGGUACCUCCAGAGGAAGCACCGGCUAACUCCGUGCCAGCAGCCGCGGUAAUACGGAGGGUGCGAGCGUUAUUCGGAAUUACUGGGCGUAAAGCGCGUGUAGGCGGCAGGGCAAGUCUGGUGUGAAAGCCCGGGGCUCAACCCCGGAAGUGCAUUGGAAACUGCUCUGCUUGAGUACCGGAGAGGAAGGGGGAAUUCCCGGUGUAGCGGUGAAAUGCGUAGAUAUCGGGAGGAAUACCAGUGGCGAAGGCGCCCUUCUGGACGGUUACUGACGCUGA